rnacentral:sRNA from 16 species
AAUCGCGGCUCCCACCCGUCAUCGGGGAGUAGCCGCCCUGCAUCCGUUGCAGGGGCUCGCGUCAACACACUUGGCCUGCAGGCCAUGGUGCGAGCAGCUUCCACAGCCUGGCAAGACCUUUGACCGCACAGCCUCCGCGUGGCCGGAGAGGCCGUGUGGUCAUUGCGUCAUCCGGCCCAGGACCUC